rnacentral:misc_RNA from 1 species
AAGUCGUAACAAGGUUUCCGUAGGUGAACCUGCGGAAGGAUCAUUAAUGAAUUCAAAGUAAAGCUGUUGCUGGCCUUUCGUGGUACUGUGCACGCUUUACAUCCAAUUCAAACCACCUGUGAACCUAAUGUAGAGUCGAGUAAAGAAUUCAAGGAAACUUGGAUGUGGGACUGCAGGUCUUUAAGAUCGGCUUUCCUUGAGCUCGGGUCUAUGUAUUACACACCCCAAUGUAUGUUAUUAGAACGUGUUAGUAGCUAUAUGCUAUAAAACAAUACAACUUUCAACAACGGAUCUCUUGGCUCUC